rnacentral:lncRNA from 1 species
GCCCUCUCUCUCUCGUGGGAUUUUUUCUCCCUUUUCUCUAUGGCUAAAAAAAUUUGACGCCCCGCGCUACAGACUUGAAAUUUUCCUUCGCGCGCCAUCACGCGCGCUCUCUCAGUUUUGGUCUUUUUUUAAUGUACGUGUAAUGUUGAUCACAUCCGACUGACAAGUGGAUCAAACCAAAAGACAUGCACGACACAACAGCAAGAUUCAUC